UAAAGAAAGCGUAAUAGCUCACUGGUCGAGUCGGCCUGCGCGGAAGAUGUAACGGGGCUAAACCAUGCACCGAAGCUGCGGCAGCGACACUGUGUGUUGUUGGGUAGGGGAGCGUUCUGUAAGCCUGUGAAGGUGUGUCGUGAGGCAUGCUGGAGGUAUCAGAAGUGCGAAUGCUGACAUAAGUAACGAUAAAGCGGGUGAAAAGCCCGCUCGCCGGAAG
rnacentral:rRNA from 1 species